rnacentral:lncRNA from 13 species
CCACAGUCUUGGACAUCAGAAAAAGGAAGAAAAUACGGAAGGCUUCACGAAUUGGCCCGUCAUCCUUGUGCAGGGGCCGUGCUGAUCUCCACAUCGUUCCAAUUUUAGUCUCAUUAUCUAUUUCAUUGUUGGAUCUGAAGUCUCCGCAAAUCACGCUGUGGGAUCUGUGGCUAUGCUCUGUACACCGUGGACGUGACUACAAUGGUAUUCAUGACUCUUCCUCGCUUUGAAAGAUGGAGUCCCGCUCUGUCACCCAGCCUGGAGUGCGGUGGCGCAGUCUUGGCUCACUGCAACCUCUGCUUCCUGGUCAAGCAAUUCUCCUGCCUCAGCUUUCUGAGUAGCUGGGACUACAGGAGUAAGACCUUGGCAACGCUUCACCGAUGA